ACGCACGCUGGCGGCGUGCUUCACCCCUGCCAGUCGCACGGGCUUCUGGGGUUCUGGCUUUUUUGGUUGGGGUUCUGGGGGUUAGUGGCGAACGGGUGAGUAACACGUGAGUAACCUGCCCUUCACUUCUGGAUAACCGCUUGAAAGGGUGGCUAAUACGGGAUGUUUCUGGGUCUGUCGCAUGGCGGGUUCGGGAAAGAUGGCACUGUUUGGUGUUUUUGGUGGGGGAUGGGCUCGCGGCCUAUCAGCUUGUUGGUGGGGUGAUGGCCUGCCAAGGCUUUGACGGGUAGCCGGCCUGAGAGGGUGGGCGGUCACACUGGGACUGAGAUACGGCCCAGACUCCUACGGGAGGCAGCAGUGGGGAAUAUUGCACAAUGGGCGGAAGCCGGAUGCAGCGACGUCGCGUGAGGGAUGGAGGCCUUCGGGUUGUGAACCUCUUUCGCCAGUGAGGAAGGCCUUGCCCGUGUGGUGGGGUUGACGGUAGCUGGGUUAAUUGAAGCGCCGGCUAACUACGUG
rnacentral:rRNA from 1 species